rnacentral:rRNA from 1 species
CCCCUAGAUGUUCUGGGCCGCACGCGCGCUACACUGAACAGUUCAACAAGUCUUAACCUUGGCCGAUAGGUCUGGGUAAUCUUUGAACGCUGUUCGUGAUUGGGAUAGACCUUUGCAAUUAUGGGUCUUCAACGAGGAAUUCCUAGUAAACGCAAGUCAUCAGCUUGCAUUGAUUACGUCCCUGCCCUUUGUACACACCGCCCGUCGCACCUACCGAUUGAAUGGUCCGGUGAAAUCUCGGGACGGCGGCUUGGUCGCUUGCGUCCGACUGCUGAAACUUGAUUAAACCAUAUCAUUUAGAGGAAGGUGAANUCGUGNCA